GAAACUCUAGUCAUUCUUUUAACACAUUAAGCGCCCAGCCUGUUUUGUCUUCUGGAUGGAAAGUAUAGCGUCAGACACCGGUGACUGACUGGGCACUUAACGUCUGAAUGGUCUAAAAACAU